rnacentral:rRNA from 1 species
AGAGUUUGAUCCUGGCUCAGGAUGAACGCUGGCGGCGUGCCUAAUACAUGCAAGUCGAGCGAACGGACGAGAAGCUUGCUUCUCUGAUGUUAGCGGCGGACGGGUGUGUAACACGUGGAUAACCUACCUAUAAGACUGGGAUAACUUCGGGAAACCGGAGCUAAUACCGGAUAAUAUUUUGAACCGCAUGGUUCAAAAGUGAAAGACGGUCUUGCUGUCACUUAUAGAUGGAUCCGCGCUGCAUUAGCUAGUUGGUAAGGUAACGGCUUACCAAGGCAACGAUGCAUAGCCGACCUGAGAGGGUGAUCGGCCACACUGGAACUGAGACACGGUCCAGACUCCUACGGGAGGCAGCAGUAGGGAAUCUUCCGCAAUGGGCGAAAGCCUGACGGAGCAACGCCGCGUGAGUGAUGAAGGUCUUCGGAUCGUAAAACUCUGUUAUUAGGGAAGAACAUAUGUGUAAGUAACUGUGCACAUCUUGACGGUACCUAAUCAGAAAGCCACGGCUAACUACGUGCCAGCAGCCGCGGUAAUACGUAGGUGGCAAGCGUUAUCCGGAAUUAUUGGGCGUAAAGCGCGCGUAGGCGGUUUUUUAAGUCUGAUGUGAAAGCCCACGGCUCAACCGUGGAGGGUCAUUGGACACUGGAAAACUUGAGUGCAGAAGAGGAAAGUGGAAUUCCAUGUGUAGCGGUGAAAUGCGCAGAGAUAUGGAGGAACACCAGUGGCGAAGGCGACUUUCUGGUCUGUAACUGACGCUGAUGUGCGAAAGCGUGGGGAUCAAACAGGAUUAGAUACCCUGGUAGUCCACGCCGUAAACGAUGAGUGCUAAGUGUUAGGGGGUUUCCGCCCCUUAGUGCUGCAGCUAACGCAUUAAGCACUCCGCCUGGGGAGUACGACCGCAAGGUUGAAACUCAAAGGAAUUGACGGGGACCCGCACAAGCGGUGGAGCAUGUGGUUUAAUUCGAAGCAACGCGAAGAACCUUACCAAAUCUUGACAUCCUUUGACAACUCUAGAGAUAGAGCCUUCCCCUUCGGGGGACAAAGUGACAGGUGGUGCAUGGUUGUCGUCAGCUCGUGUCGUGAGAUGUUGGGUUAAGUCCCGCAACGAGCGCAACCCUUAAGCUUAGUUGCCAUCAUUAAGUUGGGCACUCUAAGUUGACUGCCGGUGACAAACCGGAGGAAGGUGGGGAUGACGUCAAAUCAUCAUGCCCCUUAUGAUUUGGGCUACACACGUGCUACAAUGGACAAUACAAAGGGCAGCGAAACCGCGAGGUCAAGCAAAUCCCAUAAAGUUGUUCUCAGUUCGGAUUGUAGUCUGCAACUCGACUACAUGAAGCUGGAAUCGCUAGAAAUCGAAGAUAAGCAUGCUACGGUGAAUACGUUCCCGGGUCUUGUACACACCGCCCGUCACACCACGAGAGUUUGUAACACCCGAAGCCGGUGGAGUAACCUUUUAGGAGCUAGCCGUCGAAGGUGGGACAAAUGAUUGGGGUGAAGUCGUAACAAGGUAGCCGUAUCGGAAGGUGCGGCUGGAUCACCU